AACGAACGCUGGCGGCAUGCCUAACACAUGCAAGUCGAACGAGACCUUCGGGUCUAGUGGCGCACGGGUGCGUAACGCGUGGGAACCUGCCCUUAGGUUCGGAAUAACUCCCCGAAAGGGGUGCUAAUACCGGAUAAUGUCUUCGGACCAAAGAUUUAUCGCCUUUGGAUGGGCCCGCGUUGGAUUAGCUAGUUGGUAGGGUAAAAGCCUACCAAGGCGACGAUCCAUAGCUGGUCUGAGAGGAUGAUCAGCCACACUGGGACUGAGACACGGCCCAGACUCCUACGGGAGGCAGGAGUGGGGAAUAUUGGACAAUGGGCGAAAGCCUGAUCCAGCAAUGCCGCGUGAGUGAUGAAGGCGUUAGGGUUGUAAAGCUCUUUUACCCGGGAUGAUAAUGACGGUACCGGGAGAAUAAGCACCGGCUAACUCCGUG
rnacentral:rRNA from 1 species